CUUAUUGUGUACGUAACUUAUAUUGACAAUGUAGUUCUUUCAUAUUAUUCAAAUCUAUUUACCAUAGGAAGAGCUGGAAACGAAAAUUGAAAACGAAUUAUAUAAUUAAUUGUAGAGUUAGAUAGAGCGAUAGAAAAUGGAAUAGAUUUAAAAUCAGAAUAGAAGAGCAUCUGAAGAAUGAUAGGUCUGAAGAAGAAAUAAAAUUGAAAGGCUGAAAAACAAAGAAAAAGGAUUUUAAAGAAAGUGAUCAUAAAAGUGAUAAUAGUGAUGAAGACUGUUAUAUAGACUAGAAAAUACCCACACUUACAUUUAUAAAUUAUUAACUAACCGAAAAGGUAGAAAAAGAAAUGUAUUUGAAUUAACUUCUUGUAAUUUUAUAAUUUUAUAAGUAGAUUUGAACCUAAUGAAUUUAUGUUAAUACAAACAUGUAGAAUAGGAGAACAUGAGUGAG